rnacentral:misc_RNA from 1 species
GUUGAGGUGCGAUGCAUAAAAUGUAGCGGCGAUUUAUGCGAUAUCGACGCGUUGCCGCGACACGAGGAUAACGGUGCUUGAAAUUUUCAUCACAAGUGGACAGCUUAUGCGCGUCAGAGAGUGUCCGCGUAAUUACUAGCGACGCGGAGUAAAGCUAAUUCUACCCGGGAGUUAUAUUUAGCAGAAGGAGUUAAAACGAUUCAUCGGCAGAGGCUCGAAGCAUGAAAGCGCGCUCAUCAAAGCCCAAGUAUUUGCGGAGCUCGGCGCCUUAUAGCCAUUCAAGGAAAUGCUCUCGUUCAGCAGGCAAACGGCGUCGAAAGAACCAACCAUCGAUGGAUUCGUGUUUGAAAUCGAUCUGCCUUGUCGAUCGUUGAUCACCGCGCUAAUUUUGGCAGGAAGCUUGAACCAUGGUGAAUAACAUUUAAUCGUAACGGAGAUGGAGUGUCACAGAGGGAAACGGGAUUUCGCGUUCGAACGAGAUUUACGACGCAGCCUUGAACGCGCUCGAAGCGCCGCAGAAUCGUUUCGAUAGCUGUAGAUGCCAAC